rnacentral:lncRNA from 1 species
CGAGCUUGUCUAGCAGAAUUUUAGAGCUGUUCUCUUUCAGGUACAGUACUAGGUCUCAUUCCUAAGUUGGAAGGAUGUACAGUCCUCCAAGGUUUCUGCUGGUGGUUUCUCAUACAAUUUACACUUCUUAUUUUCAGGGUCAUCUUGGCGGAACAUUUCAGCUCGUAUUCCUCAGCGAUCUCUGGAAGAAGAUGGGGCGUAACGGCGUCAAGAAGAGCAUCUGGGAGUUCCUCUGCGGCUGUUCCUUGCCUAAGACCAACAAAUGAUCAAGACAGAAAUGCACGACACGGCGAGAGGUUAAGUGUCGAAUGGUUCCCAAUUGGUGGAAUUCUCUAUGUUGAAUUUAAAAAGUGGUUGUAAAAUUGUGAUUAGAUAUUGCUAAGUUAUUUUGUUGAGUUGGUGUCUAGUCUUGUGGUUGUGUUGGGCUGGCUUCUUCUGCAGCAAGGAGCAUGUAAACGAGGAAUGUCUUGUAAUCAUAUUCGGAAAUAAUCUCGCA